rnacentral:rRNA from 1 species
UGAGCUGGGGGUGGCCGCAGAGACCAGCGAGAAGCGACUGUUUACUAAAAACACAGGUCCGUGCGAAGCCGUAAGGCGAUGUAUACGGACUGACGCCUGCCCGGUGCUGGAACGUUAAGGGGACCGGUUAGCUGACUUUCGGGUUGGCGAAGCUGAGAACUUAAGCGCCAGUAAACGGCGGUGGUAACUAUAACCAUCCUAAGGUAGCGAAAUUCCUUGUCGGGUAAGUUCCGACCUGCACGAAUGGCGUAACGACUUCUCGACUGUCUCAACCAUAGGCCCGGUGAAAUUGCACUACGAGUAAAGAUGCUCGUUUCGCGCAGCAGGACGGAAAGACCCCGGGACCUUUACUAUAGUUUGAUAUUGGUGUUCGGUUCGGCUUGUGUAGGAUAGGUGGGAGACUUUGAAGCGGCCACGCCAGUGGUUGUGGAGUCGUCGUUGAAAUACCACUCUGGUCGUGCUGGAUGUCUAACCUGGGUCCGUGAUCCGGAUCAGGGACAGUGUCUGAUGGGUAGUUUAACUGGGGCGGUUGCCUCCUAAAGAGUAACGGAGGCGCCCAAAGGUUCCCUCAGCCUGGUUGGUAAUCAGGUGUUGAGUGUAAGUGCACAAGGGAGCUUGACUGUGAGACCGACGGGUCGAGCAGGGACGAAAGUCGGGACUAGUGAUCCGGCAGUGGCUUGUGGAAGCGCUGUCGCUCAACGGAUAAAAGGUACCCCGGGGAUAACAGGCUGAUCUUCCCCAAGAGUCCAUAUCGACGGGAUGGUUUGGCACCUCGAUGUCGGCUCGUCGCAUCCUGGGGCUGGAGUCGGUCCCAAGGGUUGGGCUGUUCGCCCAUUAAAGCGGUACGCGAGCUGGGUUUAGAACGUCGUGAGACAGUUCGGUCCCUAUCCGCUGUGCGCGUAGGAAUAUUGAGAAGGGCUGUCCCUAGUACGAGAGGACCGGGACGGACGAACCUCUGGUGUGCCAGUUGUCCUGCCAAGGGCAUGGCUGGUUGGCUACGUUCGGAAAGGAUAACCGCUGAAAGCAUCUAAGCGGGAAGCCUGCUUCGAGAUGAGUAUUCCCACCCCCUUUGAGGGGUUAAGGCUCCCAGUAGACGACUGGGUUGAUAGGCCAGAUGUGGAAGCCCGGUAACGGGUGGAGCUGACUGGUACUAAUAGGCCGAGGGCUUGUCCUC